rnacentral:lncRNA from 1 species
AAAAUGCAUGCAGGCUUUGGAGGCUAACCAAUUUCAGUUUCCAAAAUGGUUUCCUGGCACCGUCUAACAAUGUCAUAGAUUCCUGUUUAUCAGCAUUUAUUCCAUCCCUGUUUCCCCAUCAUCCCCACACCUGAAGAAUCCCUUUGGAUCUUAAUAAGAAAAGGAUUUGAUUAAAUGCAGCACUGCUGCCAUGUGCCCGUUGUAACAAGCAAAAUUGCAAGCAGUGAAACAAGGGUUUUCAAUUUACAACUAAUGGCUUUUGUGGAGCUGCAGCUAUUUUACAUCACGAUGCAAUAUACUUAUACGCAGGUGGUUGAAUAA